rnacentral:lncRNA from 1 species
GUUUUUGCACUUGUAAAUAGUUAAUGGGGUUUGUAGCCUACAUUCAGACGCAGUCUACUCAUUCUUGCGUGCGAGUGGCUUGAAUAAAAUUAAAACAUUCCGAGUAUGCAAAUUAUUCUAAAGAUGUCUACGUGCGUAGCCCCGCCUGCUCCAAUGAACAAGAAAGCCGGCUCUUUGAAGGCUUUACACAGGCAGGACAGUGAAACUGUAACAUCUGCCAAGCAGCCACCGUACCUGCUUGGCAGUGUAAAAAUGCUUAGGGUUAGGGUUAGGUUCUCUGACAAAUGAAUCCUGUUUCUCUACAGAAGGAUCACAGCAACCAGAGCACCUACCGUCUGUCGGGGAUGGUCUCUCACCUCGGGGAGAGCAUCAACACCGGUAACUAAAGCUUUUAUAGUAAAGAAUGUACAUCUGUACCUGACACACGCGUCAGACACUAGACCCGUCCCACGCUGGGGGACAGUAAGGUAAUGGAUGUCUUGUGUCCCCCAGGCCACUACGUCAGUGACGUAGCUCGAGAGGACGGCGCCGGAUGGUUGACCCUCAACGACGCCCGUGUGACGCCCGCGGAGACGCCGGUCCUGAGGACCAGAGAGAAGACCGCCUGCAUGUUGUUUUACGUCCUAAGUGGAGCAGAAGAGGGAAGCCAUGUCCCACUGGCUCAGAACCAGGAGCCAUCUGGAGCUGAGAGGGACUGACACCUGUGAGGCCCAGGAGAGCGCUUGAUUGGUGGUGCCUCUACAGCCCGCUCUGGGGGCCACACCCUGCAGCCCCCCUCUACAGCUGAGGCCCACCUUUAAACGCCCCCCUAGGGGCCACACCCUGCAGCCCCCCUCUACAGCUGAGGCCCACCUUUAAACGCCCCCCUAGGGGCCACACCCUGAAGCCCCCCUCUACAUCCUCCUCUGGGGGCCACACCCUGAAGCCCCCCUCUACAUCCCCCCCUAGGGGCCACACCCUGAAGCCCCCCUCUACAUCCCCCCCCUAGGGGCCACACCCUGAAGCCCCCCUCUAACCCCCCCCUAGGGGCCACACCCUGAAGCCCCCCUCUACAUCCCCCCCUAGGGGCCACACCCUGAAGCCCCCCUCUACAUCCCCCCCUGGGGGCCACACCCUGAAGCCCCCCCUGGGGGCCACACCCUGAAGCCCCCUUCUACAUCCCCCCCUAGGGGCCACACCCUGAAGCCCCCCUCUACAUCCCCCCCUAGGGGCCACACCCUGAAGCCCCCCUCUAACCCCCCCCUAGGGGCCACACCCUGAAGCCCCUUCUACAUCCCCCCCUAGGGGCCACACCCUGAAGCCCCCCUAUACAUCCCCCCCUAGGGGCCACACCCUGAAGCCCCCCUCUAUAUCCCCCCUAGGGGCCACACCCUGAAGCCCCCCUCUACAUCCCCCACUAGGGGCCACACCCUGAAGCCCCCCUCUACAUCCCCCCCCUAGGGGCCACACCCUGAAGGCCCCCUUUACAUCCCCCCCUAGGGGCCACACCCUGAAGCCCCCCUCUAACCCCCCCCAGUCAACUAAAUAGCGAGUUUGUCUGAGGUGAGUAGCAUAAACUGAAAUGCGUCUUUGUAAAUUAACACAACAGUUGGUAUUUGACGUUAGGUCUAUAGACCUAACGUUAAAUACCAACUGACGUUAGGUCUAUAGGAGUUAACAGGAGUUAACGGUUUGCCUUCUUAUUAAUUCAAUAAAUUAAAUGUAGGCUAUUUUCACAUUUAAUUAAUAAGAAGGCAAACCUUUAUUAGCAACUGUGCAGUUCUUUUUUGUUUUCUAAUUAACUGAAGAUAAUGUAGGCUAUCUUUGUUUAUGUUGCAGGUACCUGUCAACUGGAGACUCGUACAGGUCCAUAGCCUUCAGCUACAGGGUGGGGUUCUGCACUGUGGCGUGGAUCGUGAAGAGUGUGU